rnacentral:rRNA from 1 species
UACGAAGGGGGCUAGCGUUGCUCGGAAUCACUGGGCGUAAAGGGUGCGUAGGCGGGUUUUUAAGUCAGAGGUGAAAUCCUGGAGCUCAACUCCAGAACUGCCUUUGAUACUGAAAGUCUUGAGUAUGGGAGAGGUGAGUGGAACUGCGAGUGUAGAGGUGAAAUUCGUAGAUAUUCGCAAGAACACCAGUGGCGAAGGCGGCUCACUGGACUGGUAUUGACGCUGAGGUGCGAAAGCGUGGGGAGCAAACAGGG